rnacentral:lncRNA from 1 species
CCCACUUCAGAUGUGCUAAGCAUGCUACUAGCUCCGCUCAUACUGGGGACUCUGGAGAGGCAUAGAAAAAGCAGGAAGCAGAGUCCUAGCUGUAAGCUACUGCAGAGACAAGAGACAAGAUGACCAGGCAUGGGAAGUAAACUCAAAGCAUGAAGUUAAUGGGCAACACUGGGCCCCAGCUCUCAGCAAGUGGUCAUUCACACCUUCAAACUCAAGAGCAUCCUCUAGCCACACCUCGAGGACCCUUUAGACUCCCUGGUGCAAUGUGGCUGAUUUACUGUCAGGCAUCCCGAUCGAUCGAUCUUCUUUUCCCCUGAUAAGACUAUAAAGUGCUCGCAAGCAGAGGUCAAAGAGCACAGUUGGAUUCCCCACUGUGCAGCACAGGAGUCCCCACAUAGUCAGCUUUCCAUAAACUCCUCGGGCAUUCAGUUGUCAAUACAGUGGUCCACCCCACUGAGCACCCCUGAUUUUCUGACCUGGCAGAAGACACAGGUUCUCAGGCCUGCACUCAAAACACCCAUGGACCCCUUGGGAUUCCAAGUUCUCAAAAAGAAAACACUAUGCUAGGCGAUCACCUGGAAUCCCAGCACACUAUGGAAGGAAAGGAGAGUUGAAGAUGUCUUCCCUUCCUGUGAAUUUGAAUCGGACCUCAGGUAUAGACCCCGAAUGAUCUGUCAUUCUGGAUUUCCUUCUCUGUGCGAGAGCAGGCAACUGUGACACACAACUCGGAGUGGAGUCCAUUACACAGAAGACACGGGAAGCAGCUACGGAUGGAACAGAACGUUCUAACCAGAGGGCCUAGCCAUCUGAGCACUCUUCAUUUGUAGAGCCUUUCCACAGUCCUUCUCGAGAUUAGACAUGGGGGAUCUCAGCAGAAACCAGAACUCUAGUAACAAGUUUUCUCCAUGACUCUGCUGGGGGAAGUCAAAAUGACAACCUUUAUGCCUCUCCCUGCUUCCUGUAGCACCCCCAUUGUGAGUGUUGUGUGGAUGAAUAAAAGUCCCCCCGCC